rnacentral:RNase_P_RNA from 1 species
UAAGUAAAUCGCCUUAUCGCUGAAUCCUUUCACGAGGAUUUGGAGGAAAGUCCGAACACCAUAGUGCAGCAUAGUGGCUAAUAACCACCAGUCGUGAGGCUAGGAAUAGUGCAACAGAAAGUAUGUACAGGUCAUGCUGUAGUGAAACCAUGUAAACUCUAUGCGGUGCAAUGCCAUGUAAACCAGUGCUUGAGGGUAGCACGCCCAAUACUGGAGGGUAGGCAGCUAAAGUGUAUUGGUAACAAUGCACUCAGAUAAAUGAUAAGGAUGUUUUGUGCUUGGCAACAAGUUCAGGACAUACAGAAUUCGGCUUAUAGAUUUACUUGUAUA